GUGGGGAAUAUUGGACAAUGGGGGGAACCCUGAUCCAGCCAUGCCGCGUGUGUGAAGAAGGCCUUUUGGUUGUAAAGCACUUUAAGCGAGGAGGAGGCUACCGAGAUUAAUACUCUUGGAUAGUGGACGUUACUCGCAGAAUAAGCACCGGCUAACUCUGUGCCAGCAGCCGCGGUAAUACAGAGGGUGCAAGCGUUAAUCGGAUUUACUGGGCGUAAAGCGCGCGUAGGUGGCCAAUUAAGUCAAAUGUGAAAUCCCCGAGCUUAACUUGGGAAUUGCAUUCGAUACUGGUUGGCUAGAGUAUGGGAGAGGAUGGUAGAAUUCCAGGUGUAGCGGUGAAAUGCGUAGAGAUCUGGAGGAAUACCGAUGGCGAAGGCAGCCAUCUGGCCUAAUACUGACACUGAGGUGCGAAAGCGUGGGGAGCAAACAGGAUUAGAAACCCGUGUAGUCC
rnacentral:rRNA from 1 species